UACGUAGGGUGCGAGCGUUACUCGGAAUUACUGGGCGUAAAGCGUGCGCAGGCGGUUCGUUAUGUCCGAUGUGAAAGCCCCGAGCUCAACUUGGGAAUGGCAUUGGAAACUGGCGGGCUGGAGUGUGGCAGAGGGGGGUGGAAUUCCGCGUGUAGCAGUGAAAUGCGUAGAUAUGCGGAGGAACACCGAUGGCGAAGGCAAUCCCCUGGGCCUGCACUGACGCUCAUGCACGAAAGCGUGGGGAGCAAACAGG
rnacentral:rRNA from 1 species